rnacentral:rRNA from 1 species
AGUGAACGCUGGCGGUAUGCCUAACACAUGCAAGUCGAACGGCAGCACAGUAAGAGCUUGCUCUUACGUGUGGCGAGUGGCGGACGGGUGAGGAAUACAUCGGAAUCUACUUUUUCGUGGGGGCUAACGUAGGGAAACUUACGCUAAUACCGCAUACGACCUACGGGUGUAAGCAGGGGAUCUUCGGAGCUUGCGCGAUGGUAUGAGCCGAUGUCGGAGUAGCUCGUUGGCGGGGUAAAGGCCCACCAAGGCGACGCUGCGUAGGGGGUCAGACAAGAAGGAUAGCCACACUGGAAGUGAGGCACAGUCCAGACUCCUACAGGGGGAAACGGUGGGGAAUAUUGGGCAAUGGGGGCAAGGCUAAUCCUGGCCUACCGCGGGGGGGAAGAAGGACUUAGGGUUGGUAAGCCCUUUUGGUUGGAAAGAAAAACAGCAGGUUUAUAACCCGGGGUUCUGACGGUACCCAAAGAAUAAGCACCGGCUAACUUCGUG